rnacentral:rRNA from 1 species
UACGGGGGGUGCGAGCGUUGUCCGGAAUCACUGGGCGUAAAGGGCGCGUAGGUGGUUUGAUAAGAGUGUGGUGAAAGCCCGGGGCUCAACCCCGGGUCUGCCGUGCCGACUGUCAAACUCGAGGGCUGUAGAGGCAGACGGAAUUCCGGGUGUAGCGGUGGAAUGCGUAGAGAUCCGGAGGAAGACCGGUGGCGAAGGCGGUCUGCUGGGCAGUUUCUGACACUGAUGCGCGACAGCGUGGGGAGCAAACAGG